rnacentral:rRNA from 1 species
AGUUCGGAUUGUAGUCUGCAACUCGACUACAUGAAGCUGGAAUCGCUAGUAAUCGCGAAUCAGAAUGUCGCGGUGAAUACGUUCCCGGGUCUUGUACACACCGCCCGUCACACCAUGGGAGUCAGUAACGCCCGAAGUCAGUGACCCAACCGGAACCGGAGGGAGCUGCCGAAGGUGGGACCGAUAACUGGGGUGAAGUCGUAACAAGGUAAC